UGGUCGUUUAGCUCAGUUGGUUAGAGCGUGGUGCUAAUAAGCCCUGAAUUGGGUGAAAUUGAUACGCCAAGGUCGCGAGUUCGACGUACGAUCAA